CCGCCCCCGCCCGCGCAGCUGUAGUGGUGGCGGUGGCCCCGGCCGCCUCUGACACUUCCUGCAGCCCGGCGGGAGCGGGGGCCAUUUAAAGAGACACCGGGCAAUUCCCCGCCAAUGGCCGCCCGAAGCCGCGGGGUGGAGCCGGCUCGCGGCCGCGUCACUGGGGAAAAGCGGGGGUGUGAGUAUGGGUUUCUCCUCUACCAAGAUCCAUGCCAAUGUGCAACAGCCUCCUUAUGUAAAAGAAGUCAUGUGCAGACUUCUUCUACUGAAUCCCUUCACUUGACCCAUGGGAGUGAUCAUCCUUGAUUGUGAGGGAUUGCUGCUGCCACCAGCUAACCUAUUUUUUAGUUUCUCAGCCUUUUGGCUAAGAUCAAAUGUUGCCUGCCUUUGAACAGGGCCGUCUGCUUCAGCCACUGGGACACGAAGUGCCGACGGUGCUGCUAUGUGGUAGAGAACCUCCCCCACGUGCUACGCAGCUGCAAGCCUCAUGCCAGAGCCUGGCAGCUCCACCACAACACUGUCCAGGACCACCUGGUGAGGGUCAUCCCGGCCGCAGCAGGGGAGAUCUCCGUGAACUGCACCAUCCCAGGCUGCGAGAGCCAGAUGCGACCCAACAUUGUCAUCAUGAAUGAAGAGGCCAAGAAGGUUGUGAUCAUGGACGUAACCAUCCCCUUUGAGAACCGGCACCAAGCCUUCACCAAUGCCCAGGCUCGCAAGCAGGAGAAGUACACCCUGCUGGCCGACACCCUAAGGGGCCAUGGCUACAACGUGAUGGUCGACAUGCUCAUCGUGGGAACGCUUGGAGCCUGGGACCCCAGCAAUGAGAGCGUCCUGCAUGCCUGCUGCGUCUCCCACUGCUACACCAAGCUGACGCGCUGCCUCAUGGUGUCCAACACCAUCUGCUGGUCCCAUAACAUCUACAUGGAACACAUCACGGGCCACUGCCAGUACUCCGACCCCACCAGAUGAACCACCGCCGGACCAGACCCAGAGGAGACCUCCUGAAACCCCCCUCUGCACCAGAUGGACUUCACUUUGAGAGGAUUCUUCAGCUACAGAUGACCCCGCUCCACCCGAAGAGGACCCCCACGAUGAGACUCUAUAUGGACUGAGACACUUUCUUCACGCUACUUCCUCCACCAUUGCGGACUAUUGUAACGAGUUUGUGUGUAUCUACUUUCUCUCUGUGUCACAAAGCCCCUCCCACCCCUUCCCCUAGCCCCACUUCCCCCACCCCAGGCUCAGUUGGCUAACAUUGUAUUUUCUGUAACCUAGUUGCGUUCCCCUCCUCACCCCCAUCCCUCUAAUGUUGGUCCCUCACUCGGACGAUUUGUAUUUCCCUACUGGCUUUGUCAUCUUUUUGGAUUCACAAUCCUAAACAUCUACUAAUAAAAGUCAGUUUUUGGCACCACAGGGAGAAUGUCAGGGCUGGCUCUAGCCCUCCUUCUGCCAGUCUGGUAGUACAGUAGUUCCAGGCCUGGUGGCAGUUCCUUGUAAAAGGGAACACCCACACAUUUUUAUUUUUUUUUUUUUAAGAGCCACACGCAGAGAAAAAAAAAAAAGUUUCUCACCAGCAUGUUUGCUCAAUAUGGGCCAUGUACGUUAUAGUUAUGCUCUGUGUUGGUUGCAUUUAAUCUUCAUACUUGUUUUCCAUUACUGAGCACAGGUAGACAAAGUAUUUAAUGUGGUUUAUUUGUAUGCAAGUGUAAGGUAAGGGGAUUUUUCCCCAUGGUGAUUGAGGGGGGGAAAAACCUUGUCUUAUAUUUAAGUAAAUACAGAAGGUACCUUAAUAUCUAGGUUGCAAAUUCAAAAGCAGCCAGAUGUGACAGUAGUCAUACCAUAGCUUUAGAAUGACCAUGGUUAGGUUUAGGAGGACCUUUGACUUUCUGAUAUAUUUUUGCAAACUGUAUGACCAGUGUUAAGUUUGGGUAGAUGAUGAAGUAUCAUAUGAAUGAUGAAUGGUUACGUGUCACUGAAAAACUGGCUGGAUUCUUCAACACUUCAUUUUCAGACAUUCUAACAUCUAGACUUUUAAACUGGAUUAACAUUUUUGUAAAUAUGUUUAACAUCAUUUUGGCUAUUAGCCUACCCUGAAACACAUGCAGAACCACAGCUUUUUAUAAAUACUUUUAAAAUGUUUUUAUUUUUCCAUUAAUUCAUAUAAACAUGAAUGUAUUCCCAUAUCCAUGUGCACUGGACAAAAUUAUUUUAAUUGCACUCAUAUUAUUAUAAAGAUAUAUAUAUAUUAAUAAAAGUGGCGAACUAGGAAA